UCCCUUUUGAGUGUCAGGCCCGGAGAGUCUCAGCCUCUAAUCGGGCCUCCCAGGUCAGCGUCUGCUCUCCUGCCUGGUGGCCCCAUCCCCUUGACCUGCUGGAGAGGCGAGGGAAUGGCCCUGUUUCCCGUCCUGUGGGGCUGGGUGCUCCUGGCUGCCGUGAGUACAGAUGCAGCCACGAGCUUGGUGGAGCAAAAGCCCAGGUGGGUCCUGGUACCUCACGGACAGGCUGAAACCCUGCGGUGCAUCCUGAAGGAUUCCCAGUACCCCUGGAUGAGCUGGUACCAGCAGGAUCUCAGGGGGCAACUACAGGUGCUGGCCAGUCUGCGGAGUACCGGGGAUGAGGAAGUCAUAAACCUCCCUGGAGCGAAUUACCGGGCCACGCGGGUCAGUGAGAGCGAGCUGAGCCUACACGUGGCCAAUGUGACCCAGGGCAGAACGCUGUUCUGCACCUGCAGUAAAGACACAGUGAGACACCCUAACUGGGAAAAUGAAUAAAAACCACCCUCUG